rnacentral:tmRNA from 1 species
GGGGGUGUAAUAGAUUCGACGGGUAUCUGUUGCCACUCGGGAGCAAGUGCCGGUUGGCCAGGCCGGCUAAAAUAGGGCCAAAAAAAUAAGCAACAACAAUCAAGUUGCCUGGGCUAACGCUUAGUCCACGGCGCCUCGGGCGCGGUUCGUCUUGCUUGAUAUAAGACCCACGAACCACACCGUCGCCGUGCCGUUUCGCGCUUAGACGGCGGUUAAACCAGCGAAACUAAACUUGUAGCGCCUGGGAGGAGAAGAUGUUCGGACGGGGGUGCGAAUCCCCCCACCUCCACU